rnacentral:rRNA from 1 species
UACGAAGGGGGCUAGCGUUGCUCGGAAUCACUGGGCGUAAAGGGUGCGUAGGCGGGUCUUUAAGUCAGGGGUGAAAUCCUGGAGCUCAACUCCAGAACUGCCUUUGAUACUGAAGAUCUUGAGUUCGGGAGAGGUGAGUGGAACUGCGAGUGUAGAGGUGAAAUUCGUAGAUAUUCGCAAGAACACCAGUGGCGAAGGCGGCUCGCUGGGCUCUACCUGACGCUGAGGCGCGAAAGCGUGGGGAGCGAACCGG